CGUUCGAGCGUCAUUACACCACUCAAGCCUGGCUUGGUAUUGGGCAUUAUCUUCGCUGAUAGGCCUUCAAUUCUUCGGCUGGACGGUACGAAUCUCAGCGUUGUGGUUUCAUCAAAUCGCUGGCGAGGAGGACCGGACGUCGCCGUAAAACUUCAUUACAGGUUGACCUCGGAUCGGGUAGGGAUACCCGCUGAACUUAA
rnacentral:misc_RNA from 1 species